AACUCCGGGCGGGCUUAUAAAUUAGGUUUUUGUGAGAGGGAGGGGAGCGGCGGCGUUACUGAUAUCUUUCUUCCUCCGCCAUGAGCGCGAGCCUCUAAUCCGGCGAAGCAUGUCUUAUUCUUCUUCUUCUUCUUCUUCUUCUUCCGGUUCUUUUCUUAUCAUCUACCUUCGAUUGAGCUUUUCUUGCGUUGCUAAAAUUUUGGCCCUUCGAAAUGGUGGGUUCUUGAAAGCUAUGGAACGUUGAUCCGUUAGGGUUUUUCCGUUGCUGAUGAUCGAAUUCUUGGAUUGAAAGAGCGGCAGCGAUCCAAUCUUUUCCCGACUCGACCAUGAGCAGAUUUGGCUCUUCUAAAAUGGUGGAUCUAAAGGAGAGUGGCGCUUCAAAGCUAUGGAAUCAUCUUCCAUACACGUCUUUUUCGUUGCUGAUGAUCGAACGCCAAAUGUGUUGGAUUUGAAGAGCGGCGUCAAUUCAAUGUCUUCUUGGCCCCUCCAUGAGCAGUUCUUUCGGCUCUUAAAAUGAUGGUGACCCUGAAAGUGUAAAGGUUCUUGAAAGCUUUUCUUUGCUGACGUUCAAAUAGAGCUUUUCAUUGCUGACAAUCAAAUGUCAAAUGUUGUGGAUUUGAAGUGCAGUGGCAAUGCAGUCUACUUCUUCCUCCACCAUGCUCUUUCGGGUGAGCUUCUAUUCUUGCGAAGCAAGUCGUCUUAUCUCAACAUCUCCUUUUGGUUAAGCUUUUCUGUUUUGAGAAGUUUUUGGCUCUUCAAGAAUGGUGUCCCUAGACACGAUUCUCGAAAAGAUUUGCAAUCAUUUCCAAACUGGCCAUUUUAGUUGCUGAUGGUCAAAUGUCAGAUGUUUUGGAUUUGAAGAGCAGCAGCAAUCCAUUCUCUUUCUUCCUCUAUCAUGAGCAGGCUGGGCGAAUCUCAAGUCUUGCGAAGAAAGUUUUCAAUUUCAUGUCAGAUUCUGUUCUUUCUGUUUAUCUUCAAAUGAGUUUCUAUUGACUUGAUAAGUUUUGGUCCUCUUAAAUGAGGAACGAUUCUUGAAAGCUAUGGAAUCAGUUCCAAAGAGGGAUUUUUCAUUGCUGAGAUUGAAUGCUAGAUCUUUUGAAUCAAAAGAUUUUCUACCAUUCUACAUAAUAUCUGUCAUUGUUGAAGUGUGUAAAGUUGGUUCAACUUUCGAAUCAAACCAAAGGCCCAUGAUCCUGAUUCUUGGACGUUGAUCUUGAUUAGAUCUUGUAGGUAAUAUCCAUCUUUGAUUUUGCUGACCACAUUGAUGUGUUGGGAUGUGAUGGCCAACAUGGCAUCAAGCAAUUAUGGGUGUGGUUAGUCCAAUUAGAUUGUUUUAGUUAUAAGAGGAUGUUUCUUAAUUGCUUGUGAAGCUCACCUACUUACGUGAGAUUGGGACAAACAUUGAUGACUUGGUGAAAGACACUCAAGAAGAAACCACUGAUUACAGAGAUUUUAUAAGAGGCAGGGGUCCAAAAAUAUUCCAUGGGCCCCUUUAAUUCACAUGCCAUAUGAGCAGGUUGUCCGGUGAGUCCCUGUGCCUAUAUUUAUUCAUUUUGCAUCUCCUUUUCUCAUCAAUUUUGUGGUCCUUUUUUUCUUGUGACAUUGAAUUUCCUUUUUUGAUUGGGUUGACUCAUGGAUAAGAACUGCUUUUAGUGAUGUUACAUAAUUUAGAAAGAAAAAAAAAUGAAUAAGUGUUCUCAUCUUCUACUGUGUUUGUACUCGGUGUAGUUCCUUCUUUAAAUCCAACAUAUCACAUGGCUUUCUAAGAGAGAAAAAUCUGACAAAGAAAAUAUUGCUGAAUGCGGGGCUAAACUAGCCGAGUCAAUACAGCGAGAUUUGAUGAUGGGCUUCUUCUUUAGAAAGGGUCUCGGCUUUCUCGAUUUUCUUCAAGGUGCAUCAUGUGUCUUGGUAUGUCAUGUGGAAGGACAUGGUUCUUUAUCUUCUUUCAGAAAUAUUAACCAUGGCUUCCCAUGUCUCGUUGAAAACAGUGGAUUUGCUGCAUUUGCUUCUGUGAAAACCUGAUAACUGCCACAGCCAAAUCAAUAUUCUUUCAUUUUUGUUUAAUAGUUGACUCAGUUAUUGAUUAAGAUGCUUUUACUAUUUAACUUACAUAUAGAAGUGUCUGAAGACCUGCACUUUCAUUGAUUGCUAUGAGUUGUUUAGUCUGGGCAAGUAUGUAAUUCAGUAAUUUUCCAAUGCAUGCUUAAAUUUCUUAGGUAAUAUACACUCAAAAGUUGGAUCAUAGAUGUUGUUUAUCCUUUUUCUUGAUCAUUUUUGGCUUGUUAAUACAGUUGGAUCUAGAUAUGGAAUGCUGGAUUCACUUGAAAGGUACGAGAUUAUGUCAAGUGGAGCUCUUGUUCCCUCGUUGUUCAAAAGGUGUUCAAUUUUAUCAACUUUAAGGAACAUGUCUUAACGGGAACAGAUAACAAACAGUAUUGAUUACAACAUUGAUGUGCUGCAGAGUUACUGAACAGAUUGCAAACAGUGUGCAGAAUUUCUGAGCCGAAAGGUUUGCAUUGUUUGUCUGCAUGAUUCACAUGUCACAUGUCAACAGUGGAGUCUGUAGUUAAUUGUAAUUCGGUAACAUCUACACCUACUAUAAGAUGAAAAUUUGGGGAAAAAAAGGGAGGCAAAAUAAAGGAAAAAAAUUGUGGCUCAAUGCAUGAGGCUUCCACUGAUGUAUAGUGUGGGGUGGGUGUCGCCAAAAUUAUAAAUGUGAAGCGGCUGAUCUGUGUACUUGUGCAAAUUUAGAUAUAUUAUCAAUAAUGCUUGAAUACUUGUGCAGUUUUGCAGCACUAGCAUACAGUAAUGCUCGAGUCUAGACAUGAAGUAUUUGGUUUAUUAUUUUGUUGAGAGCAUCAAGUAGAUUCCAAUAUGGAUUGAAGUAUUUGGUUUAUUAUUUUGUUGAGAGCAUCAAGUAGAUAAGUUUGCAGUUGGUAAUACUAUUAUCAUUUGUUUGCUUACAUUGACAUGGCAGAGCACUCAUCAUGAGUAUUGAAGUUGGCUACAAUUUUCAUAGGGCUGCCCAUUUUUUGAUGAGCUACACACCGCAGAAAUAAGUUCCGAUGGUGAUAGAAAACUGCAGACCGGUAACGACAGUGCAGAAUGUGAAUUGUUAAGAGGAAGAAACGGAGGCAGACCUGAGGUGGUCCUUUUUCCUUGAACAGGUACCUAUAUUUGUGAUCAGAUAGUAUGACUAGUAAAUGAUUCUUAUGCAUUCAAUGAACUCAUUCAUUUUUACUUCCUCUUUUUAGUGCCCUGUCUAAUAUCUUCAGCUUUCUCAAUCUAAUGUACUGCAUAGAUGAACCAGCAAGUAUCACUCUAUGGU